rnacentral:rRNA from 1 species
UACGUAGGUGGCAAGCGUUGUCCGGAUUUAUUGGGCGUAAAGAGCGCGCAGGCGGUUCGUUAAGUCCGAGGUGAAAUCUCCCGGCUCAACUGGGAGGGGUCUUCGGAUACUGGCGGACUUGAGGAGUGCAGAGGUGAGUGGAAUUCUCGGUGUAGUGGUGAAAUGCGUAGAUAUCGAGAGGAACACCAGCGGCGAAGGCGGCUCACUGGGCACCACCUGACGCUGAGGCGCGAAAGCCAGGGGAGCAAACGGG